UUUAACUUGCGAGAAUGAAUGGAAACAAACUGUUGCCAGCAGUCUUUUCAUGUUUGGGAUGUUGAUUGGAGCAGUCACCAUUGGCUUUAUAGGAGACACUAUUGGGAGAAGGAAAACAUUCACUUUGAACAUAUUUAUCCUGGCGCUAAUCACAACUGCAACGGCAUUUUCACCCGACUGGAUCACUUUCUGUGUGAUGAGAUUCUUUUCCGGAAUCGGUGCGUGUGGCCACUUCCUCAUCAUCUUCGUCUGGGGAGUUGAAGCGGUCGGGAAACGGUACAGGAUCGCUUGCGGAUUCAUCUACCAAAUAGUUUACGCAACAGGAUCUGCCUGUCUGGGACUAGUGGCCUAUUUUGUGC